UGGGGCAAGAGGCAUGCAGCAGCCCACAGCUGCGGGAAGCUGGACCCCAACCUGCACCCCCUGCUAGGGCAGGGAAGAGGAGGGCAGGACCGGCGCAGCCCCGUGUGUGCACGGAGGAGGAAGGACGCAAGCUCUGGGACUCCUUGCGCAAGAAGUGCCAGCAGAAGGCAAGGGCAAAAGUGGCACCCCCGAAGGCUUGGAAAGACAAGCGAGAGCCAUGGGAGGCCCAGGUGCUGCAGGCGGUGAAAAACAAUGAGGAAAAGAGUAUUCCUGUCCUGCGGGGAGCCAAGGGCUCCUGCGUUCGUGGCACUCCAGAGUGGUGGGGAGAGGGCAGAAAAG